GGGUUUACCCAUUGGUCAGGCUUAAUUGUCUGUACUGGUGAGAUAAAUCUCUACCUUCUGAGGAACUUUCAUGUCAUUAAUUUGGUGUGAUUGGAAAUCAGGACUGUUACUUUGAAAAAAUUAGAGUGUUCAAAGCAGGCAAUUUUCGCUUGAAUACAUUAGCAUGGAAUAAUGGAAUAG
rnacentral:rRNA from 1 species